GAUGAACGCUGACGGCGUGCCUAAUACAUGCAAGUCGAGCGAACAGAUAAGGAGCUUGCUCCUUUGACGUUAGCGGCGGACGGGUGAGUAACACGUGGGUAACCUACCUAUAAGACUGGAAUAACUCCGGGAAACCGGGGCUAAUGCCGGAUAACAUUUAGAACCGCAUGGUUCUAAAGUGAAAGAUGGUUUUGCUAUCACUUAUAGAUGGACCCGCGCCGUAUUAGCUAGUUGGUAAGGUAACGGCUUACCAAGGCAACGAUACGUAGCCGACCUGAGAGGGUGAUCGGCCACACUGGAACUGAGACACGGUCCAGACUCCUACGGGAGGCAGCAGUAGGGAAUCUUCCGCAAUGGGCGAAAGCCUGACGGAGCAACGCCGCGUGAGUGAUGAAGGUCUUCGGAUCGUAAAACUCUGUUAUUAGGGAAGAACAAAUGUGUAAGUAACUGUGCACGUCUUGACGGUACCUAAUCAGAAAGCCACGGCUAACUACGUG
rnacentral:rRNA from 1 species